CUCCCUCUUAUUCUAUGUCAUUUGUUACUGGGCUGGUCUUAUUCUAUGUUCCUAGUGCCUGGGAAGUACCCAUCACAGAACAAGAUGUUUACCCAUUGGAUGAGAGAAAGAGGGAGAGAGGGAGGAAGGGAGAAAGCAAGGAAAAGGCAGAAGAGGAAAGAAAUCCCCAGACUUGUCCUGGACCCACAUCAUGAUUCCAUUAGCCAGCUGAGAGACCACUGCCUAAGGACGACGGAACUUGAUCUCAGCUUCACACAAUUACACUCCCUGCUUCAGCCCCAGGUGGCACAGGAAAACGGAACGUGGGUCUUUCCCUUGUGAAGCUGGAUUGACUUAUUCAGAGAGGACGAAACUGAACUCCAGGCUGAAGUCCAUAAGGCUGGCUGUUACCUGUCCUUGCCGGCUACAUCUCCUAAACCCUCUCCUUCCGUUUUGCUUCCACCACCUCUCCCCACAUCAGACCCACUGCAAACUUCUACAGAGCCCUGAGAAACAACUGUGUCUCCCCAUUAACAUUGUUUCAGGGUAAAUAUGGAACAAUGCUGCA